AUUGAACGCUGGCGGCAUGCUUUACACAUGCAAGUCGAACGGUAACAGGCCUUCGGGUGCUGACGAGUGGCGAACGGGUGAGUAAUGCAUCAGAACGUGCCCAGAGGUGGGGGAUAACGCAGCGAAAGCUGUGCUAAUACCGCAUGUGAUCUGAGGAUGAAAGCGGGGGACCAGGCAGCAAUGUUUGGCCUCGCGCCUUUGGAGCGGCCGAUGUCAGAUUAGGUAGUUGGUGGGGUAAAGGCCUACCAAGCCGACGAUCUGUAGCUGGUCUGAGAGGACGACCAGCCACACUGGGACUGAGACACGGCCCAGACUCCUACGGGAGGCAGCAGUGGGGAAUUUUGGACAAUGGGCGCAAGCCUGAUCCAGCAAUGCCGCGUGCGGGAAGAAGGCCUUCGGGUUGUAAACCGCUUUUGUACGGAACGAAAAGGCUCUGGCUAAUACCUGGGGCUGAUGACGGUACCGUAAGAAUAAGCACCGGCUAACUACGUG
rnacentral:rRNA from 1 species